CCUACGGGAGGCAGCAGUGGGGAAUAUUGGACAAUGGGGGCAACCCUGAUCCAGCCAUGCCGCGUGAGUGAUGAAGGCCUUCGGGUUGUAAAGCUCUUUUGGCGGGGACGAUGAUGACGGUACCCGCAGAAUAAGCCCCGGCUAACUUCGUGCCAGCAGCCGCGGUAAGACGAAGGGGGCUAGCGUUGUUCGGAAUUACUGGGCGUAAAGCGCGUGUAGGCGGUUUGCCAAGUCGGGUGUGAAAGCCUUGGGCUUAACCCAAGAAAUGCACUCGGUACUGGCAGACUAGAGGACCGGAGAGGAUAGUGGAAUUCCCAGUGUAGUGGUGAAAUACGUAGAGAUUGGGAAGAACACCAGUGGCGAAGGCGGCUAUCUGGACGGUUUCUGACGCUAAGACGCGAAAGCGUGGGGAGCAAACAGGAUUAGAUACCCUGGUAGUCCACGCCGUAAACGAUGGGUGCUAGACGUUGGCGAGCUUGCUCGUCAGUGUCGCAGCUACGUACGUAGACACCCGCCGUCGGGAGGUACGGCCGCAGUAGAACUACAAGAAUAGACGCGNGAGACGUGCGAGCGACACGAGGGAGAG
rnacentral:rRNA from 1 species